rnacentral:tRNA from 1 species
GAAGAAAUAAAUUAAAGCUGCUAACUUUAAUAUGAGUAAUUAAAUAUUCUUUCUUCU